rnacentral:rRNA from 1 species
GCUUAGCCAUAAACCCAGAUAUUUAACAUACAAAAAUAUCCGCCAGAGAACUACGAGCAAAACGCUUAAAACUCUAAGGACUUGGCGGUACCUUAAACCCCCCUAGAGGAGCCUGUUCUAUAAUCGAUAAUCCACGAUCUACCUCACCAUCUCUUGCCAAUACCGCCUAUAUACCGCCGUCACCAGCCUACCCUAUGAAGGAUAUAAAAGUAGGCAAAAUCGCACAACAGCUAACAAGUCAGGUCAAGGUGUAGCUUACUGAGAUGGAACAAAUGGGCUACAUUUUCUAAACUAGAAAUCAUUUCACGGAAAGAACUAUGAAACAAGUUCUAUAAGCAGGAUUUAGCAGUAAAUAGGGAUCACAAUGCCCAAUUUAAGCCGGUCCUAAGGUGACGC